CACAAGCUCCACCUGCAGAGCAGCCGUGGGUCAGAGAGCCGGAAUGGCAGCUCCCUGGGGCGCCAGGUUGGAAGGGAGGCAUUUCCUGAUCUGAUCAGUGGGGUUACUAAGUCCUCAGUCAUCCAUUUAUCUCCUGAGAGGUCUUGGGCCAAGUGCUAGGAACAUAGGUGGGGGGCUCUGGAAUAAAACAAGGCUGUUGCCUGCAACAUGGGCACAGUGCAAUUAGGCAGUGC
rnacentral:lncRNA from 1 species